GGAGAGGGUAUAGCUCAGUGGUAAAGUGCAUGCCUGGCAUGCAUGAGGUCCUGGGUUCAAUCCCCAGUACCUCCA
rnacentral:tRNA from 1 species